rnacentral:rRNA from 1 species
CCGGCGACCGGCGCACGGGUGAGUAACACGUAUGCAACCUGCCCUCUUCGAGGGGGACAACCUUCCGAAAGGGAGGCUAAUCCCGCGUAUAUCGGUUUCGGGCAUCCGAGAUCGAGGAAAGAUUCAUCGGAAGAGGAUGGGCAUGCGGCGCAUUAGCUAGACGGCGGGGUAACGGCCCACCGUGGCGACGAUGCGUAGGGGUUCUGAGAGGAAGGUCCCCCACACUGGUACUGAGACACGGACCAGACUCCUACGGAAGGCAGCAG